GACGAACCGUGCGAACGUUGUUCGGAAUCACUGGGCUUAAAGGGCGCGUAGGCGGGCUCGCCAGUCAGGGGUGAAAGCCCACGGCUCAACCGUGGAAGUGCCUUUGAUACUGCGAGCCUCGAGGGAGGUAGGGGCGUGCGGAACUUCCGGUGGAGCGGUGAAAUGCGUAGAUAUCGGAAGGAACAUCGGUGGCGAAAGCGGCGCGCUGGACCUCUUCUGACGCUGAGGCGCGAAAGCCAGGGGAGCAAACGGG
rnacentral:rRNA from 1 species